rnacentral:rRNA from 1 species
CUUGACGACCAUAGAGCGUUGGAACCACCUGAUCCCAUCCCGAACUCAGUAGUGAAACGACGCAUCGCCGAUGGUAGUGUGGGGCUUCCCCAUGUGAGAGUAGGUCAUCGUCAAGCU